rnacentral:rRNA from 1 species
AGUGAACGCUGGCGGUAGGCCUAACACAUGCAAGUCGAACGGCAGCACAGGAGAGCUUGCUCUCUGGGUGGCGAGUGGCGGACGGGUGAGGAAUACAUCGGAAUCUACUCUGUCGUGGGGGAUAACGUAGGGAAACUUACGCUAAUACCGCAUACGACCUACGGGUGAAAGCAGGGGACCUUCGGGCCUUGCGCGAUUGAAUGAGCCGAUGUCGGAUUAGCUAGUUGGCGGGGCAAAGGCCCACCAAGGCGACGAUCCGUAGCUGGUCUGAGAGGAUGAUCAGCCACACUGGAACUGGGACACGGUCCAGACUCCUACGGGAGGCAGCAGUGGGGAAUAUUGGACAAUGGGCGCAAGCCUGAUCCAGCCAUACCGCGUGGGUGAAGAAGGCCUUCGGGUUGUAAGGCCCUUUUGUUGGGAAAGAAAUCCAGCUGGCUAAUACCCGGUUGGGAUGACGGUACCCAAAGAAUAAGCACCGGCUAACUUCGUGCCAGCCGCCGCCGUAA